GUGGGAGAGGUUCGUAACCAUCCCUCUAUAAAAAACUAGGGAAAA
rfam:Clostridium cadaveris strain NLAE-zl-G419 genome assembly, contig: Ga0070261_115